GACAACAUUCAAUGCCACAAUGGGCCAGUGUGUCUGGCUCUUAACCAAAAGGUUGGUGGUUCGAGCCCACUCAGGGACA